rnacentral:lncRNA from 1 species
UCUCCCCCGACCAGGAGUGGUUGGGGCGCUGAGAGGAAGCAGACGCUGAGAUGGAGCAGGCCCUUCACCGGUUUGGGAGAGGGUUGGUCUGGCUGUCAGUUGCCUGGCUGUCUGUUGGGCGUGUGCGUGUGCGUGAUGAUGGGGACACGGGGCGGGGAUUCUGUAGAGCUGGGCCUGUCCUGACUAGAGGACCCUCUGGGGACUCCUCUCCCCUCCCCCUCCCCACAUCUGUUACAGCCGCUUACAAACACGCAGAUGGCAAGAAGAUUGAUGGCAGGAGGGUCCUUGUGGACGUGGAGAGGGGCCGAACCGUGAAGGGCUGGAGGCCCCGGCGGCUAGGAGGAGGCCUCGGUGGUACCAGAAGAGGAGGGGCUGAUGUGAACAUCCGGCAUUCAGGCCGCGAUGACACCUCCCGCUACGAUGAGAGGGACCGGGACCGGGACCGUGAGCGGGAGCGCAGAGAGCGGAGCCGGGAGCGAGACAAGGAGCGAGAACGGCGACGCUCCCGCUCCCGGGACCGGCGGAGGCGCUCACGGAGUCGCGACAAGGAGGAGCGGAGGCGCUCCAGGGAGCGGAGCAAGGACAAGGACCGGGACCGGAAGCGGCGAAGCAGCCGGAGUCGGGAGCGGGCCCGGCGGGAGCGGGAGCGCAAGGAGGAGCUGCGUGGCGGCGGUGGCGACAUGGCGGAGCCCUCCGAGGCGGGUGACGCGCCCCCUGAUGAUGGGCCUCCAGGGGAGCUCGGGCCUGACGGCCCUGACGGUCCAGAGGAAAAGGGCCGGGAUCGUGACCGGGAGCGACGGCGGAGCCACCGGAGCGAGCGCGAGCGGCGCCGGGACCGGGAUCGUGACCGUGACCGUGACCGCGAGCACAAACGGGGGGAGCGGGGCAGUGAGCGGGGCAGGGAUGAGGCCCGAGGUGGGGGCGGUGGCCAGGACAACGGGCUGGAGGGUCUGGGCAACGACAGCCGAGACAUGUACAUGGAGUCUGAGGGCGGCGACGGCUACCUGGCUCCGGAGAAUGGGUAUUUGAUGGAGGCUGCGCCGGAGUGAAGAGGUCGUCCUCUCCAUCUGCUGUGUUUGGACGCGUUCCUGCCCAGCCCCUUGCUGUCAUCCCCUCCCCCAACCUUGGCCACUUGAGUUUGUCCUCCAAGGGUAGGUGUCUCAUUUGUUCUGGCCCCUUGGAUUUAAAAAUAAAAUUAAUUUCCUGUU